rnacentral:lncRNA from 1 species
GGAAUAGAAAAUCACACGAGUAAUUUUUAUACUGGUUCGAUUCAACAGAAUCUACGUCCAGUCGUUAAUCACUAUAAAGAGUGAUUAACAGUUUCACUAACAAAAGGGUUUCUCAGAUUACAACAGUAAUGAAUAAAUGAUAAGAUUAAACCAUCCUUCGACGAACGAACCGGAAGAAGAACACUCUGCCAACUUGAAGAGAACUGCUCCGGCAAUCGACCAACGAUUCGCGAGCUUCUCUUAUUCAUGAGACCAGGCAGAGCACCUUACUAACUCGAAGAGAACCGCUCCGGCAAUCGAC